rnacentral:rRNA from 1 species
AGAGUUUGAUCCUGGCUCAGGAUGAACGCUAGCUACAGGCUUAACACAUGCAAGUCGAGGGGCAGCAUGAACUUAGCUUGCUAAGUUUGAUGGCGACCGGCGCACGGGUGAGUAACACGUAUCCAACCUGCCGAUGACUCGGGGAUAGCCUUUCGAAAGAAAGAUUAAUACCCGAUGGCAUAGUUCUUCCGCAUGGUAGAACUAUUAAAGAAUUUCGGUCAUCGAUGGGGAUGCGUUCCAUUAGGUUGUUGGCGGGGUAACGGCCCACCAAGCCUUCGAUGGAUAGGGGUUCUGAGAGGAAGGUCCCCCACAUUGGAACUGAGACACGGUCCAAACUCCUACGGGAGGCAGCAGUGAGGAAUAUUGGUCAAUGGACGAGAGUCUGAACCAGCCAAGUAGCGUGAAGGAUGACUGCCCUAUGGGUUGUAAACUUCUUUUAUAAAGGAAUAAAGUCGGGUAUGUAUACCCGUUUGCAUGUACUUUAUGAAUAAGGAUCGGCUAACUCCGUGCCAGCAGCCGCGGUAAUACGGAGGAUCCGAGCGUUAUCCGGAUUUAUUGGGUUUAAAGGGAGCGUAGAUGGAUGUUUAAGUCAGUUGUGAAAGUUUGCGGCUCAACCGUAAAAUUGCAGUUGAUACUGGAUAUCUUGAGUGCAGUUGAGGCAGGCGGAAUUCGUGGUGUAGCGGUGAAAUGCUUAGAUAUCACGAAGAACUCCGAUUGCGAAGGCAGCUUGCUGGACUGUAACUGACGCUGAUGCUCGAAAGUGUGGGUAUCAAACAGGAUUAGAUACCCUGGUAGUCCACACAGUAAACGAUGAAUACUCGCUGUUUGCGAUAUACAGUAAGCGGCCAAGCGAAAGCGUUAAGUAUUCCACCUGGGGAGUACGCCGGCAACGGUGAAACUCAAAGGAAUUGACGGGGGCCCGCACAAGCGGAGGAACAUGUGGUUUAA